GAUUGAGCGCUGGCGGCAGGCCUAACACAUGCAAGUCGAACGGUAACAGGAAGAAGCUUGCUUCUUUGCUGACGAGUGGCGGACGGGUGAGUAAUGUCUGGGAAACUGCCUGAUGGAGGGGGAUAACUACUGGAAACGGUAGCUAAUACCGCAUAACGUCGCAAGACCAAAGAGGGGGACCUUCGGGCCUCUUGCCAUCGGAUGUGCCCAGAUGGGAUUAGCUAGUAGGUGGGGUAACGGCUCACCUAGGCGACGAUCCCUAGCUGGUCUGAGAGGAUGACCAGCCACACUGGAACUGAGACACGGUCCAGACUCCUACGGGAGGCAGCAGUGGGGAAUAUUGCACAAUGGGCGCAAGCCUGAUGCAGCCAUGCCGCGUGUAUGAAGAAGGCCUUCGGGUUGUAAAGUACUUUCAGCGGGGAGGAAGGGAGUAAAGUUAAUACCUUUGCUCAUUGACGUUACCCGCAGAAGAAGCACCGGCUAACUCCGUG
rnacentral:rRNA from 1 species